rnacentral:rRNA from 1 species
GAGUAACGCGUAGAUAAUCUACCUUAAGGACUGGGACAACAGUUGGAAACGACUGCUAAUACCGGAUAAGCUAAACGGAAGGCAUCUUCUGUUUAGGAAAGGAGGCCUCUUAACAAUGCUCCCGCUUUUAGAUGAGUCUGCGUCUGAUUAGCUAGUUGGUGGGGUAACGGCUUACCAAGGCGACGAUCAGUAGUCGGCCUGAGAGGGUGACCGGCCACAUUGGGACUGAGACACGGCCCAAACUCCUACGGGAGGCAGCAGUGGGGAAUCUUCCGCAAUGGGCGAAAGCCUGACGGAGCAACGCCGCGUGAUCGAUGAAGGCCUUCGGGUUGUAAAGAUCUGUUGACAGGGACGAAUAAGCCAUGCGAAUAGUUUGGUGUAUGACAGUACCUGUUUAGAAAGCUCCGGCUAACUACGUGCCAGCAGCCGCGGUAAUACGUAGGGAGCAAGCGUUGUCCGGAAUUACUGGGCGUAAAGGGCGCGUAGGUGGGUGCUUAAGUCAGGUGUGAAAACUCUGGGCUCAACCUGGAGACUGCUCUUGAAACUGGGUAUCUUGAGGGCAGGAGAGGAAAGUGGAAUUCCUAGUGUAGCGGUGAAAUGCGUAGAUAUUAGGAGGAACACCAGUGGCGAAGGCGACUUUCUGGACUGUACCUGACGCUGAGGCGCGAAAGCGUGGGUAGCGAACGGGAUUAGAUACCCCGGUAGUCCACGCCGUAAACGAU